AACAUGCAACACUUGAUCUGAGGGUUGUGGGUUCAAGCCCCAAGUCGGGUGUGCUACUUAAUUUAAAAGAAAAAGAAAAUUAACAGAUUCAAAGAUAGGGAAAUCCUGGAUUUCCUUAGAUUAUUAGGUUUCAUCCACUGGGGAGGCACAGACUCCAGUGAGAACCUAAUCUUUAUUUUCUCUAGAACAGUGCACAUGUGCAAAUGUACAAUAUGUGUGCAAUUCCUGAGGGUUCUCAGGCAUCCUGAAGCUCACGUGAGGAUCCCAUGGGAGUAAUGUUGAUCUCAGAACCUUCAUCCCCUCCAAAGUGACCUCUGGUCUUUGCUUUCUUGAGGGGACUGCUGAUGUAUAUUUCCUUAGGAUUUUGAGGCUUCCCAGAACGCAGCUAGAAAAUUGCAAAGAAGAACAUUUCCCUCACAUACAAACCUUGUCAUUCAGGUGAACCAAUUUUCUCUUUGUAAAUCAGGACAUUUGCAAAUGUUUCAUUAGCUUUGGCCCAGAUAGCUCUGUAACAAAUGCAUUUGCAGUGUGGUGCAGAUGAUGUAUCAGCACAAACAGCUCACUGGGCUUCCAUUAAUUAUACGGGGAGAAUGAGGGACUGUUUAAAUGGAGACACAGAAAUUCCAUUUGAGGGUAUAUUUGCCUGAGAAAGAAAGCACUCCCAUACUGCAAGAAUCCUAUAUGCUUUCUGAUCUAUUUCUUUUCAACAACCAUGACAUUGACUCAUUCAUUCAUUCUUUCAUUUCUUUACCAUUUACUGAGUACUGGUACAAGGAUGCCAGAUGCUGGAGAUGAAGGAAUAAAAGACCUACAGCCCCUGCCCUCAUGAAACUAACUUGUGGAGCCAACAGUAAACAAUAUAAAAUUACUGGAAAAGCCAUGUUAUCAAGAAAACAACACUUUCCACAAGGCCAGCAAUGACUCAGAGACUGUAUUUGUACUGCUGUUAAGAACAUCUUCUUUGUUCCUGAUGGUGGUCAGUGACAUUAGAACUGAUGCGAAGGUAAAAUGUGAGUACACUCUUGGGCUCUAUCUUAACUCAGUUUUCAAACUGAGUUAGAAUCAACCUAGAAACAAAUUAUAGCAGAUUAAACUAGGAGGCACUUGCACUCGGGUCCUCAGGGCACAAGUUCAGCACUUGCUCUAUUUUGCUUUCUUUAAUGUUGGUCCCUCAUGCCUGGCUUGCUUGACCCUAGUCCCAACGCUACUCCACAUUCCUGACUGCCCUGCAAUAUUAUGUGAUUUUACUUUUUUGCCAUCUCCAUGGAGAACUAACUGGCAUCCCUUAGCCUUGCUACUCAAAGAGGGGUCCAAGCACCAGCAGCAGGAGCUUCAUCUGGAACCUUGUUUGAAACGUAGAAUCUCAGAUCCUACCAGAUACCCAUUAGAUUAGCAUUUGCAUUUUAACAAAAUCUCCAGAUGAAUAGUAUGUUCACUGAAAUUUCACAUCACUGCCCUAACCCACUCUCCUUCCUGAGGAGCUUGCCACUCUUCAGUCUAUUAAAAGUAGCUGUUGUUGUUUUAAAGCAGUCACUGUAAAAUAUAGGAAAGUCAGAUGGAACCAGAAAUACAGAGGAAGAAUAAUACAAUGGUCAAGAUCAGACAAUUUAUAGUAGACAGAGCUGACCUCAAGUUUCAGCUUUACUACUCAAUAGUUGGGCACCUACUUAACCUCUCUUGACUUCAUUACAUUAUUAUUAUUAUUAUUAUUAUUAUUAUUAUUAUUGCUUUCAGAACAAAACAACUUCAACUUUUUACAAGUUGAAAAAAAAAAAGUA